rnacentral:rRNA from 1 species
AGUGAACGCUGGCGGCAGGCCUAACACAUGCAAGUCGAACGGCAGCACAGGGGAGCUUGCUCCCUGGGUGGCGAGUGGCGGACGGGUGAGGAACACAUCGGAAUCUGCCUAUUUGUGGGGGAUAACCUCGGGAAACCGGGACUAAUACCGCAUACGACCUACGGGUGAAAGCCGGGGACCUUCGGGCCUGGCGCAGAUAGAUGAGCCGAUGUCGGAUUAGCUAGUUGGAGGGGUAAAGGCCCACCAAGGCGACGAUCCGUAGCUGGUCUGAGAGGAUGAUCAGCCACCCUGGGACUGAGACACGGGCCAGACUCCUACGGGAGGCAGCAGUGGGGAAUAUUGGACAAUGGGCGAAAGCCUGAUCCAGCCAUGCCGCGUGAGUGAAGAAGGCCCUCGGGUUGUAAAGCUCUUUUGUUGGGAAAGAAAAGCCAUGGGUUAAUACCCUGUGGUUCUGACGGUACCCAAAGAAUAAGCACCGGCUAACUUCGUGCCAGCCGCCGCCGUAA